rnacentral:rRNA from 1 species
GAGGGUUUCCGCCCUUCAGUGCUGCAGCUAACGCAUUAAGCACUCCGCCUGGGGAGUACGACCGCAAGGUUGAAACUCAAAGGAAUUGACGGGGGCCCGCACAAGCGGUGGAGCAUGUGGUUUAAUUCGAAGCAACGCGAAGAACCUUACCAGGUCUUGACAUCCUUUGACCACUCUAGAGAUAGAGCUUCCCCUUCGGGGGCAAAGUGACAGGUGGUGCAUGGUUGUCGUCAGCUCGUGUCGUGAGAUGUUGGGUUAAGUCCCGCAACGAGCGCAACCCUUAUUGUUAGUUGCCAUCAUUCAGUUGGGCACUCUAGCAAGACUGCCGGUGACAAACCGGAGGAAGGUGGGGAUGACGUCAAAUCAUCAUGCCCCUUAUGACCUGGGCUACACACGUGCUACAAUGGGAAGUACAACGAGUUGCGAAGUCGCGAGGCUAAGCUAAUCUCUUAAAGCUUCUCUCAGUUCGGAUUGCAGGCUGCAACUCGCCUGCAUGAAGCCG